rnacentral:snRNA from 1 species
CUGCUCUCUACAGCAGCACCUAUACUAAAAUUGGAACAAUACAAAGAUUAGUAUGGCUCUUUUGCAAGAAUUACCCACUUUCCAUGUUUUU